rnacentral:ncRNA from 2 species
CUCUUAUUCAGAGUGGUGGAGGUACAUAGGACCUAUGAAGCCACGGCAACCCCUUGAUUAUUCAGGAAGGUGCCAACCUGAGCGUGCAAUUCCGAGUUUCGGACUACGAGCAAUAAGAG